ACUAACUGGAGGACCGAACCGACUAAUGUUGAAAAAUUAGCGGAUGACCUGUGGCUGGGGGUGAAAGGCCAAUCAAACCGGGAGAUAGCUGGUUCUCCCCGAAAGCUAUUUAGGUAGCGCCUCGUGAAUUCAUCUCCGGGGGUAGAGCACUGUUUCGGCUAGGGGGCCAUCCCGGCUUACCAACCCGAUGCAAACUGCGAAUACCGGAGAAUGUUAUCACGGGAGACACACGGCGGGUGCUAACGUCCGUCGUGAAGAGGGAAACAACCCAGACCGCCAGCUAAGGUCCCAAAGUCAUGGUUAAGUGGGAAACGAUGUGGGAAGGCCCAGACAGCCAGGAUGUUGGCUUAGAAGCAGCCAUCAUUUAAAGAAAGCGUAAUAGCUCACUGGUCGAGUCGGCCUGCGCGGAAGAUGUAACGGGGCUAAACCAUGCACCGAAGCUGCGGCAGCGACACUGUGUGUUGUUGGGUAGGGGAGCGUUCUGUAAGCCUGCGAAGGUGGCCUGUGAGGGUUGCUGGAGGUAUCAGAAGUGCGAAUGCUGACAUAAGUAACGAUAAAGCGGGUGAAAAGCCCGCUCGCCGGAAGACCAAGGGUUCCUGUCCAACGUUAAUCGGGGCAGGGUGAGUCGACCCCUAAGGCGAGGCCGAAAGGCGUAGUCGAUGGGAAACGGGUUAAUAUUCCCGUACUUGGUGUUACUGCGAAGGGGGGACGGAGAAGGCUAUGUUGGCCGGGCGACGGUU
rnacentral:rRNA from 1 species